rnacentral:lncRNA from 1 species
UGACAUUUAACGCGUCCGCGCGCGCCAGAGCGCAUGCGUCCACGCAGGUCUGUUGGCCGAUUCAAACCGGUGCAAACCGAAACCGUACCGGUCCGGUAGGCGACCGUACACCUACCAGUACCGGUACGGCAUACAUUGGUCACAGGUCAUAAGAAGUUACUCAACUUCCAUUGUGUACCCUUUUACGGUCAUGUCGCAUAGUCGAAGAUUGUGGAGCUUAAGAAAUUUAUUUUGAUGAUAAUCUUCAGAUACUUACAUUUGAGUUCAUGACACAUCUCGUCCCACAUUCAAAUCUUGCUGUGUCCAUGCUGACAUCAUCGUUUUAGAUUUUCCCAUUAAAUUUAUGCAUGGUUCUUGAGCUUGAUGGCAAUGAGGUUCGUGGAUCAAUCGUCAGAAACUUUGUUAAGCUUGAAA